rnacentral:rRNA from 1 species
UACGAAGGGUGCAAACGUUGUUCGGAAUCACUGGGCUUAAAGGGCGCGUAGGCGGCAGACCAAGUCCGGGGUGAAAUCUUUCGGCUUAACCGGAAAAGGGCCUUGGAUACUGGUUUGCUAGAGGGAGGUAGGGGUCUGUGGAACUUCUGGUGGAGCGGUGAAAUGCGUUGAUAUCAGAAGGAACGCCGGUGGCGAAAGCGACGGACUGGAUCUCUUCUGACGCUGAUGCGCGAAAGCCAGGGGAGCAAACGGG